AGGACGAACGCUGGCGGCGUGCUUAACACAUGCAAGUCGAGCGGAAAGACCCUUCGGGGUACUCGAGCGGCGAACGGGUGAGUAACACGUGAGCAACCUGCCCUUAGCUUCGGGAUAGCUCCGGGAAACCGGAAUUAAUACCGAAUAUGAUUUUUGCUGACAUCAGCAGAAGUGGAAAGUUUUUCGGCUAGGGAUGGACUCGCGGCCUAUCAGCUAGUUGGUGAGGUAACGGCCCACCAAGGCGACGACGGGUA
rnacentral:rRNA from 1 species